ACGAUGAUCAGGAGCUUGCUCCUGUGAUUAGUGGCGAACGGGUGAGUAACACGUGAGUAACCUGCCCCUGACUCUGGGAUAAGCGUUGGAAACGACGUCUAAUACUGGAUAUGACCGCCGAUCGCAUGGUCUGGUGGUGGAAAGAUUUUUUGGUUGGGGAUGGACUCGCGGCCUAUCAGCUUGUUGGUGAGGUAAUGGCUCACCAAGGCGACGACGGGUAGCCGGCCUGAGAGGGUGACCGGCCACACUGGGACUGAGACACGGCCCAGACUCCUACGGGAGGCAGCAGUGGGGAAUAUUGCACAAUGGGCGAAAGCCUGAUGCAGCAACGCCGCGUGAGGGAUGACGGCCUUCGGGUUGUAAACCUCUUUUAGUAGGGAAGAAGCGAAAGUGACGGUACCUGCAGAAAAAGCACCGGCUAACUACGUGCCAG
rnacentral:rRNA from 1 species